UACGAAGGGUGCAAGCGUUACUCGGAAUUACUGGGCGUAAAGCGUGCGUAGGUGGUUCGUUAAGUCUGAUGUGAAAGCCCUGGGCUCAACCUGGGAAUGGCAUUGGAUACUGGCGGACUGGAGUGCGGUAGAGGAUGGCGGAAUUCCCGGUGUAGCAGUGAAAUGCGUAGAGAUCGGGAGGAACACCGGUGGCGAAGGCGGCUAUCUGGACAGAGUCUGACGCUGAGGCGCGAAAGCUAGGGGAGCAAACAGG
rnacentral:rRNA from 1 species